rnacentral:rRNA from 1 species
UACGUAGGGGGCAAGCGUUGUCCGGAAUUAUUGGGCGUAAAGGGCACGCAGGCGGUGGUUUAAGUUUGGUGUUUAAUCCCAGGGCUCAACCCUGGUACGCACUGAAAACUGGAUCACUUGAGUACAGAAGAGGAGAGUGGAAUUCCACGUGUAGCGGUGAAAUGCGUAGAGAUGUGGAGGAACACCAGUGGCGAAGGCGACUUUCUGGUCCUUAACUGACGCUGAGGCGCGGAAAGCAUGGGGAGCGAACGGG